rnacentral:rRNA from 1 species
UACGGAGGGGGCAAGCGUUGUUCGGAUUUACUGGGCGUAAAGGGUGUGUAGGCGGUUUUGUAAGUCUGGUGUGAAAUCUUCAUCGCUCAACGGGAAGAGGUCACUGGAAACUGCGUAACUCGAGUGUGGUAGAGGCAAGCGGAAUUCCUGGUGUAGCGGUGGAAUGUGUAGAUAUCAGGAAGAACAUCGGUGGCGAAGGCGGCUUGCUGGGCCAUUACUGACGCUGAGACACGAGAGCGUGGGGAGCAAACGGG